rnacentral:tRNA from 1 species
UGUCUGUUGGCGUAACUGGCUAGCGUACCUCUCUUGUAAGGAGGAGGAUAGGGUUCGAGUCCCUGACGGACAU